AUAUCACUAAGCGGAGGAAAAGAAAUUAACGAAGAUUGCCUCAGUAGCGGCGAGCGAAGUGGCAAAAGCUCAAGUUAAAUCUGUGGCCUACGGUCACCGAAUUGUAAUCUAAAGGGGUUAACAAAAGGGAAGGAGGAGGCAUAAGUUGCUUGGAACAGCACGCCAAAGAGGGUGAUAGCCCCGUAUUCGGCCUCAACCGACCUGAAUGUUGGCUCUCGUAGAGUCGGGUUGUUUGGGAUUGCAGCCCUAAAUUGGAGAUAAACUUCUUCUAAGGCUAAAUAUUGAUGGGAGACCGAUAGCGCACAAGUA
rnacentral:rRNA from 1 species